GGUUGGGUGGGGGAAGAGGAGAUGUUGAUUAUGUUAGAAGGAAAACAUUGCUCGUGUGUGUGUUUGUUUUUUCUUAUAUCUGUCUUGCCAAAGGAAACUUGAUUUUCCCUGUGAUUGGCUUUGGCCUCUGUGGUCUGGUCUGCAGCAGUGUGUGGUGGCAUGCAGGUAACAUAUGGGGUGUCCAGUAGGUUCAGGGACCCUGAGGGUGCAUUUACAUCCCUUCCUAUGGUUGCCCAUGCCCCCCAGACCCUGCCAACCUCUCCUAAUGAUUCAUUACCUCUGUACAUAGCAAAAGCAUAGGCAAAGGAUGAAUGCGUGAAUGCCUGGAUGUGCAGUUGAGAAACAGAGGCAGACAUAGACAUGCACCAAUUAAUUUGGAGCCAAGAGGUGAGUGAUUGAUGUAUCUUAAAUCUAGGAAAGUUAAAGUGAAACAGGUUCUUUGUGUUGCCCUCUGUCAAGUUACUGAAUGUUGUGCUAAUAACACAACACUUUAAAACCUUACUUACUUUUCUCAUACCAAGGCUAGUUCUUUCUAGACCAAAAACACAAACAGGAUAAAAAGCAAACCAAGAAGUUGAAAGCUAACCUGCCCACCUCACCCCUGUGAUACAAAGUGUGAACCUUAAGGAUUAGUUGGUGGGAUUGAGGAGAGAAUUAUUCUUGGUGGGAACAUGAAUGAGAAAUGAUGCUGGCUUAGGAAAAAUCACAAGCCCUUUCUGCCCAUACUCUGGGACAAACUUUCUUGGCUCCCUGAGUUCGGAUAUAGACUGUAUCUCUAGAAAGGCUAUUUUUUUAAAUAAAUGAUCCCACAGAACUUAAGUGGGAUUUGGUUUAGAUACCAAAGACACUGCUAAUGUCAUUGCUUAUCCUUAAGUUUUCAAAACAGGCAGAGGGAAUAGGAGCAAAAAGCCAAAAUUUGGAAAAGCUUUACUUUAUCUCUUUCCUUCCCUUUUCCCCUUUUCCCAGUCCCCUGCUUUUUGAAGGAAGUCUUCUUGGUUAUCCUGGCUUUGGAAAAGAGAUUUAUUUUGUUUUGCUCUGCUGGCUCUUUAAAGAUGGAUAGUUGCUCAAUCUAGCAGUGAUGUUCUUGGAAUUGCUGAGAAAUUUGGGGAGGGCAAAAGAUAGGGGUAGAAUUUUUUCAUUAUUUCCCUUUAUCUAAUACUUUUAAAUAGAACCAACACAGCCUAUAUGAGUUCAGACAAUAUUUAGAUGUGGUAUCUCCAUCUGUCUCCUGUAAAAGAUAAGAAUUUUCAAGAACAGGAUUACGUGGAAAACCAAAAGAUCUUCCCUUACUCUCCUAUAAAUGUUUUGUUCCAAAUGUUUUUAUAUAUGGGCUCUAGGGAGUCAGGUAGUUCAUUGUUUCGGUGUACUAUUGAUAGGACACAGAAAGGGAGAGAGGGUAAAGAAAUGUAUCACUCUCUGAAUAUUGCAUCAAAAAUGAUUAGGUUGCAGAACUUCAUGAAAGCUUUACUAAUAAUCUUAUUGUUCUGACAUUAUGUAAAGGUGGUAUUAAUAUUGUAUGACUUGUCAAAGUGCUAGAUAGGUUUAUAAGUAGGUAAUAGGGAUGUUGAAGAUUAGAGCACUUGAAACAGAAGUUCUGGGAAAACAAGGUGUGUGUAAUGGAACACCACUUUGAGCACAGAAACAAAGGUCCCUUGGACCUGGUAGGGAAGAUGUGAUUUAUGAUUGUUUCUGUGUCCCUGUAUCUGCCCACCCUGCACAGGGCUCCACCACCCAGGGCCACCUUCUGGUUUAAACCCAGGACACUGUCAAAAAGUUAAGACCCCAAAACUAAUUUACUGUAAAAAACAUUGAGGACUGCUGCAAAGUUUUCCCUUGUUUUCUUUGUGUACUUGUUCAUCAUUGUAUAAGUUAGCCACAGCUUCACAAGAGCAGCUUAAGGCUUCUUUCAUAAAUUGGCAGUGGCAUUGAGUUCUCAAACAUUAUAUCCCAAAGUCUGCAGGCAGACAGCUGGAUACAGCGCUGUGUAUAAAUGAGACGUCCAAACACUUGAGUUUCUUAAGAUUGGGAUCUCUUUCAAAUGAAAAAGGACAGAGCCAAGUAGAGAAAAGACUUUGUGCUCCCACCCAGCCUUAAUGAGUCUCAUGGUCUAAAAGUAUAGGAAGAAAUGAAAUGCACUUUCAGAAGCUAAAAUGACAGUGUCUGCUACAAAAGGCUGUAGUUGUAGGCAGUCGGGGAUGCCAUGUCCUUGGUUCCAUUCCUGCGUGAGUCUGCAGAAGGCACACACUUUGUAAGAGUAGAGUGGACUAGUGCCAGCCUGAAUAGGUUUAAAACUGCAAACAGUUGGAGAACAUGGAACAGGUUGGUGCAGGAAGCCUAAGAUUUUGCAAUCAUAUUAUAACAUUGGCUUUUGACAACAUAAAUGUUGUAUCUUCCCUAAGGUCAGGUCGGGGAAAGAAAGACUUCCAGCUUCUUACCUCUGCGUGCAUGGGCACGUGUGCAUUGCUCAGUCCGCAGGAGGUCUCACUCCGCAGGAAACGCUCUCCUCCCGCAUAAGUCUGUACUUCCAUCCCCUCAUCUGUGGUAGUAGUGAAGGCUAGGUGAGUAAGCGUGGGCUGUUCUACCCACCAGAAGUCCAGGAGCUGUUGUAUACCUCAUUUCUAACUCGUGACCGAGUGACUUGCUUUAACUUUCUCGAAAUCCUACAGAGUUGCCAAGUCUGCCCUCCCUCCUCAGUCAUGUUAAACUCUGGCCUAUAGCAUCAUGGGACCUGUAGCCUAGGGUGGGACCCCCUAAAGCCUCUGAAUGUCGCUGCUUAAAAGCUACUGCAAACUGAGGGCAAAUUGCAAUCUUCUAUUCCUUUUUGUUGCAAGGGGUCUUCACAGGUCUCUUAACAUCUGCUUUCCCUGCCACCCUGCCUUUAGGGGCUGGCCAGCUAUCCACACCCCUAACCCACCCUGUGUUUCUGACAGCUGGCCACACGUCAACUUCUGUACUUGCCUUUUCCUUGGUGGGGUAGAGGCCAACCCCUUCUCCUCUGAGGCCUCAGGGUUCUGUUUCUUUUCAGGACUUUGGGUAGAAGGGAAGACACCAAAGGCUCCUUUAAGCUGACUGCUGCAUACACAUUUCACUUUUUUUCCUUUGACAUGACCAAAAAUAUCCAAAUAUUUAAGUUUAUUAUUAUUAUUAUUAUUAUUUGACAAUCUUAUAUCCAAUGGGCUCUCUAGAAGCUGCAUCCCCAGCCCUUUCACCUUUUCUUUGAAUGUAGUUCCCAACCUUCAAUUCCCACCCCUAAUGCUGACAAAAAGCUUAGCCAGGUCAUGAUACUGCUGCUAUAAGCCAGGGGAGGGUGGUUUCUUUGUUUUGUUUUGUUUUGUUUUGUUUUUCAAAUUUCCAGCCAAAACCAAAGAUUUCUUAAUGAUUGUAUAAACUCAAAACAAACAAAAGAACCAAAGAAAAGGGAAGUCUUCAGCAUCAGUCCAGUCUGUGGUGUCCUGGCACUUAGAAGAGUGAGGCCAGGGAAGGUGGGGCGGGGGGACCCUCUGACUGGAUCAGAAAGGGCAGGCAAGCUGCUUACCACCUUCCAGGGUCCAGCACAGGUGCAUGCCCCUAGCUUUGGCCCUCACAAACUUGUGAGCAUGCCCUGAAACAAAUUGGCAUUUCAGAUUUUCCAAAACAAAAGUCAAAAAACCCCAUCACCACCAUCAUCCACCCUACACCAACCAGGGUCACUAUGGGGACUUAGCACAGGGCCUAGGGAGGGUGGGAGCUGCUGCUGGACUGGCCCGAGGACUCCACAGAGUGGGGGACGUUGAAGACACUGGCGCACGAUUGGCUGCUCUGCUGGGUGCUUUAACCUCUGGGGCUGGGCGAAUGCACGCCACGGUGCCCUUCUGAGCCUUUUUUUCUUUUCCUGUACUGGAACUGCUUGGAAGUGGCUGUCCUGUUUGUGAGAAAACAUGCAGAAAGAUUAUCAAGCUUUUCAUUUCUCUUUAUUGUAGUUUUCUUUCCUUUUUGCAGCACCACUGUGCAACUAUGCAUUGUACUUCACAACCUUUUGUGCUAGGUAGAUGCCUGUGACUUUUUAACUUGGGGGGUGGGGGGAUUGCAAAUGAAGGAACUUUUUACAUGGAUCUUUUUAAUCUCAGUUGGUUGGGGGAGGGGGGUACUUGGUUCUUGGGUCACACAAGCUCUAUCCCAAAGCAAAAUCCAAAUGUUAAUAAUAUUAGCCUGAUGCAGAUACCAAAGAUAAUUUCUUUCCUGCAGAACCUUAGACUCGUGUAUUAAGUACGAUUACCCAGCACUUGCAUUAGUCUAACCUCAGUAAUUCCAAAGCUUAGAUGUAUAUUUUGGUAUAUUUCUGGGAUAUUAAAAAAAAAAUGUCGUUUAACUUCUUGUUUGUUUCAGUGUAAUGCUCUUAAAGUCAUAGCAUGAAAAUAAUUGAACUGUCCUAUUCUUAGUAGUUUGAAAUAAUAGUAUUUUUGUAUGUUUUGGGUGUGUCUAUGUAUGUAUUAACAUAACAGUUUUCACUGCCUAGGUGUUCAUAAUAAAAAAGAAAAUGAAAAAA
rnacentral:lncRNA from 1 species